rnacentral:ncRNA from 1 species
UAUAUCAUAUUGGGGUGCUUAAGUCAGACAGCUGAGAUACAUACCCAUAUUACUUAGAUGGAUAAUGCCAACUAAUGGAAUAUGAUUCACAAAGGG